rnacentral:rRNA from 1 species
UAACACGUAGGAUGCAAGCGUUAUUCGGAUUUACUGGGCGUAAAGCGCGUGUAGGCGGUUAGGAGAGUUGGAUGUGAAAGCUCCCGGCUUAACUGGGAGAGGUCGUUCAAAACUUCCUGACUAGAGUUUGGUAGAGGAAAAUGGAAUUCCGGGUGUAGUGGUGAAAUGCGUAGAUAUCCGGAGGAACACCAGUGGCGAAAGCGAUUUUCUGGACCGAUACUGACGCUCAGACGCGAAAGCUAGGGUAGCAAACGGGAUUAGAGACCCCGGUAGUCCUAGCUGUAAACGAUGUAGACUUGGCGUUGGGAGAGUAAAAUCAUCCAGUGCCGAAGCAAACGCGAUAAGUCUACCGCCUGGGGAGUACGGCCGCAAGGUUAAAACUUAAAUGAAUUGACGG